AAAUUGAAGAGUUUGAUCAUGGCUCAGAUUGAACGCUGGCGGCAGGCCUAACACAUGCAAGUCGAACGGUAACAGGAAGCAGCUUGCUGCUUCGCUGACGAGUGGCGGACGGGUGAGUAAUGUCUGGGAAGCUGCCUGAUGGAGGGGGAUAACUACUGGAAACGGUAGCUAAUACCGCAUAAUGUCGCAAGACCAAAGAGGGGGACCUUCGGGCCUCUUGCCAUCGGAUGUGCCCAGAUGGGAUUAGCUUGUUGGUGGGGUAACGGCUCACCAAGGCGACGAUCCCUAGCUGGUCUGAGAGGAUGACCAGCCACACUGGAACUGAGACACGGUCCAGACUCCUACGGGAGGCAGCAGUGGGGAAUAUUGCACAAUGGGCGCAAGCCUGAUGCAGCCAUGCCGCGUGUAUGAAGAAGGCCUUCGGGUUGUAAAGUACUUUCAGCGGGGAGGAAGGGAGUAAAGUUAAUACCUUUGCUCAUUGACGUUACCCGCAGAAGAAGCACCGGCUAACUCCGUGCCAGCAGCCGCGGUAAUACGGAGGGUGCAAGCGUUAAUCGGAAUUACUGGGCGUAAAGCGCACGCAGGCGGUUUGUUAAGUCAGAUGUGAAAUCCCCGGGCUCAACCUGGGAACUGCAUCUGAUACUGGCAAGCUUGAGUCUCGUAGAGGGGGGUAGAAUUCCAGGUGUAGCGGUGAAAUGCGUAGAGAUCUGGAGGAAUACCGGUGGCGAAGGCGGCCCCCUGGACGAAGACUGACGCUCAGGUGCGAAAGCGUGGGGAGCAAACAGGAUUAGAUACCCUGGUAGUCCACGCCGUAAACGAUGUCGACUUGGAGGUUGUGCCCUUGAGGCGUGGCUUCCGGAGCUAACGCGUUAAGUCGACCGCCUGGGGAGUACGGCCGCAAGGUUAAAACUCAAAUGAAUUGACGGGGGCCCGCACAAGCGGUGGAGCAUGUGGUUUAAUUCGAUGCAACGCGAAGAACCUUACCUGGUCUUGACAUCCACGGAAGUUUUCAGAGAUGAGAAUGUGCCUUCGGGAACCGUGAGACAGGUGCUGCAUGGCUGUCGUCAGCUCGUGUUGUGAAAUGUUGGGUUAAGUCCCGCAACGAGCGCAACCCUUAUCCUUUGUUGCCAGCGGUCCGGCCGGGAACUCAAAGGAGACUGCCAGUGAUAAACUGGAGGAAGGUGGGGAUGACGUCAAGUCAUCAUGGCCCUUACGACCAGGGCUACACACGUGCUACAAUGGCGCAUACAAAGAGAAGCGACCUCGCGAGAGCAAGCGGACCUCAUAAAGUGCGUCGUAGUCCGGAUUGGAGUCUGCAACUCGACUCCAUGAAGUCGGAAUCGCUAGUAAUCGUGGAUCAGAAUGCCACGGUGAAUACGUUCCCGGGCCUUGUACACACCGCCCGUCACACCAUGGGAGUGGGUUGCAAAAGAAGUAGGUAGCUUAACCUUCGGGAGGGCGCUUACCACUUUGUGAUUCAUGACUGGGGUGAAGUCGUAACAAGGUAACCGUAGGGGAACCUGCGGUUGGAUCACCUCCUUA
rnacentral:rRNA from 13 species